GAUCACUCCAUCCUGUAAUCCCCAUAAUCAUAUGUCAUCACCUGCAAAAUGUAAAUAGUAGGAGUGAGCUAACAGCUCAGUAGGCAACAUCAUGCAAUAAAGUCAUCUUAUAACAUGUCAUGAUACAUAUGAAAAGCAGUUAAAACUCAUAAAUUCAAAAUCCACACGAUAACCCGUAAAUCCAAUCCGAGACUCAAAAUAACUCAACUGCAUGACUACGGCCACAUCACCCAGUGGCAUGGUUACACCGUAGUGCCAAUACAACUCUCCGAAGAGCCGCUCCACUGAGCCAAUGCCCCACUGUGCCGCACCCCCUGGUGCCAAUCUCACGCUCCACCGAGCCGCUCCGAAGAGCAAAAAUGCACCCUGUGCCGCCACUAUUCUAUCACCGGUGGUCGCGGUGUCGGAACUAGUUCCUCAGUACAAGUCGACAGGGCCAACGUAUCAUCCCAUUGGCGGGGCCUAGACUAUAGUCACGCGGAUUUUAAAAAUCAAUAAUCAACUUUCCAACUCAAGUCAUGAUCAAACUCCCAAUAGUAAAGUACAUAACAGUUUAUGAAAUUAAAUAUUAAUUUCUAAUUCUAACACAUAAUGCCA
rnacentral:lncRNA from 1 species